UUUCUGAUUUGUUUUUACCAUGCUAUGAAGUUGCCAGAGUGUUUAGGGGUGGUUGCUGUUGCUAUGUGUUAAUUGUGUAGGGUGGUAGCUAUGUGGUUGCUAAGGUGUUUGGAAUGUUUUAGUGUGUUCUUAGGGUGUUGCUAUGCAUUUAGUGUUUAGGGUGGUUACUAAGGUGUUUGGAAUGUUUUAGUGUGUUGUUAGGGUGUUGCUAUGCAUUUACUGUUUAGGGUGUUUGUUAUGUGGUUACUAAGGUGUUUGGAAUGUUUUGGUGUUUUGUUAGGGGUGUUUGCUAUGUGGUUGCUAAGGUGAUUGGAAUGUUUUUAGUGUGUUACUAGGGUGUUGCUAUGUCCUUAGUGAUGUUUUAUGAUCUUUUGUUUUUUGCAGUUCCAUUUAGUUGCUUGGGAUGGUUGCUAGGGUAUUGCUAAGUGGUUGCUAGGGUGUUCUGGCAGAUUGCUAGGUACUUGUUUUCUCAAACACUGCAGAAUGAAUUGUGAUUUUGAUUCUUGUAAUAAUAAACUUUCUUUCCCUCUUCACAAGAGCAGAUAUUUUUCUCAACGGUUUGCGUUUGCAUAGUUGUGUUAGGAUGAGAGCGC
ensembl:lncRNA